GCAGCGAUGGUUCAGUGGUAGAAUUCUCACCUUCCAUGUGGGAGACUCAAGUUCAGUUCCUUGCCAAUGCA
rnacentral:tRNA from 1 species